rnacentral:rRNA from 1 species
AUGGACGUUGCCGUCGCCGCACCUACAACUAAUUUUUACGGGCAAGACCUCGUGAGUUUUCAGUCGAAGCUUGGCAUUCUCGCUCCGGCCACCUGGCUGUCUCACCCCGCCGACGAGCUUUUAAUGCUCGGCAUCGACGGCUUGCCUUUCAGCAAGGAGGCUGGCGACACCGACAUCGCCCUCGUCGAUCGGAGCUUUCUCCAUGUCGGACAGGCCGUAGUAUCGGCGUCGGACGUCGGCGGCCAGAUCGGCGUCGUCACCGGCGUCACCACAACGCUUGACCUCGUGGACCGUGGCGGUGACGCGACAGGGGAAGUCAUCGGGGGCCUGCCGCCCUCAGCUGUGCGGCGUGUGAGGGCGCUCAGCCUCGGGGAUUACGUCGUGUCUGGGCAAGGGCAGUGGCUGGGCCGCGUGGUUGAGGUGUCCCUAGACGUGGACGUCGUGUUCGACGACGGCGCUAUCUGCAGGGUCACGGACGCCGAGUCACCAACCAUGCAGUUAAGGCCGGCAGAGAGCACACCGGGUCUUCACCGUCAACAGACGAACGUCACCUUCUACCCCGGGCUGAGCGUCGCCUCCGGCGACCCCUCGGUCGUCUUCGGAGGGGCGCGGUGGCUAAGUGGCCACUGGAAGAAAAGGCAUGAAGUGGGGAUGGUGACCAAGGUGGAGAUGGCCGGCGUCCUUGUCCACUGGAUCGUGUCCGCCUACGGCCACACGGACGAGCAGUUCCUCCACGGGUCCGCUCCUCCGGCUUACCAAAAACCUGAGAACCUAAUGUAUUUCUGCUCCGCGUACGAGUGCAGCUGGGGAGUAGGCGACCGUUGCUUCCUCCGAGAAGGCACUGCUGCUUCCCCUAGUUCGGAAAUCGAUUCUCUUCAUGAUCCACAACACCAGAGUUCACUGCAAUCUGAUGAUAGCUCCUCUUCCGAAGAAGAAGAAGAAGAAGAAGAAGAAGAGGUUGAGCCAUCGCCGCCAUCGUUAACUGCCGGCCUAGCAACCGCUCCAGUGGACAAGGAGGAGAGAUCGUACCGCAAGCAGCUGAGGAAGCCCAUGUUCAUACGGUAUAGGGGGCGGGCACGACGAGGCUACCAGUGGUCGGCACCGCUGCGCACCAUGACUGUCUCCCGCACUCGCACCACCGUCAACGUGUUGUGGCAGGACGGCACGCGACAACACAGGGUGCCGUCGACGUCCCUCAACCCCUUCGACAUGAUGAACGAGCACGAGGUCUUCCCCGGGCAGUAUGUCAUCGAUGCUCGAGAUGACGACUUCACCGGGGGAUCAACCGUGCGGCGUGUCGGUGUCGUCAGGAACCUAAAUUCCAAGGACCACACGGCACAUGUGUCGUGGUUCAAGGCGGCGUCCGGAGGGCGGGAGGUGGAAUGCGACGACGAGGCCGUUAGUGUGUAUGAUCUAGGCAGAGACCCUGACCACUCCGUUUUCUAUGGGGACGUCGUGGUUCGUACACUAUCAUCAAACGUGAGUGGAAAUAAUGCACGGCAACCACAGGUGCUCGAUCUUUCAUGGGUUGGUCGUGUUGUUGACUUGAGUGACGGCCACAUCCAAGUCAAAUGGGGCGACGACACCACGUCAGUGGUAUUACCCCAUGAGAUCACUGUUGCCAGCAAGGAACACUACAGCGAACUGCGGGCUGAAAUGGGCGACUGGCUGGAGGAGGACAGCGUUGAUAAUCAUCAAGAAUCUGGUGCUGCUGAUGUGGACAAUGAUCCAACAGAUACUAGGAAUAUCCAAGGUGCCAGGGUUGAAGACGGUGGCAGUUCUGCUAAUGAAUCAGAUGGCCAUGCCGCUACAAGAACAAACCGGUUGGGUGGUGUCAUCCAGUCCAUGAUCCGAUCGGUGGUUCAAGUGUUGGCUCGAGCCAAGUUGUUGUAUCUUGUCAACCGCACAUCGUCGUCAACCUCGGAUUUGCCAGCUGCGGGCAUGCACAAUGUUGUUGAAGUGCCUACGCAUGUAUCCUUGGGUGGUAAUCACGUAGAUACUAGCAUCGAGGGCGUUGUCACGGAGGUCGUCUUUCCUCCAGUGAUAAGAAGCGAUGAGACUGGCGACGGUGAUGUCAAGUAUGCGGUGAGGUCGGGAGAAGCCGCCACUGGUGAUGAUGACACGUUAAUAUUCCCAAACUUUGACGUAGUGCAGAGUCCUCCGGACCACCAUUACCUUGACACCAUGGACCAGGGCAGCAGUAACGGAGGAAAAAGCUGGGUUAAGACGGUUCAGAAGGAGUGGAAAAUACUCGAGGAUAGCUUACCAGAUACAAUCUACGUGCGGGCAUACGAGGACCGGAUGGACCUGCUCCGGGCGGCCAUGGUGGGCGCCAGCGGGACGCCGUACCAGCAUGGGCUCUUCUUCUUCGACCUGCAGCUGCCGCCCUCCUACCCCGCCGUGCCACCCCAGGUGUAUUAUCGCUCCUUCGGCCUCCGCCUGAACCCAAACCUAUACCCCUCCGGCACAGUGUGCCUCAGUCUGCUAAACACCUUCGGCGGCGAGGGCACCGAGGUCUGGUCGCCGGAGACGUCAAGCAUCCUCCAGGUUGUCGUCUCCCUCCAGGCGCUCGUCCUCAACGGCCAGCCUUACUACAACGAGGCCGGCCACGAGACAUUGGUCGACACGCCGGAGGGCCGCCGCAAUGCACUGCCCUACAGCGAGAAUGCCUUUCUGCUUACUCUCCGAACCGCGCUGCACCUGCUUCGUCAGCCGCCGCGAGGCUUCGAAGGGUUCGUCACGGACCACUUCCGCCAGCGGGGGAGGCACGUGCUCAUGGCGUGCGACGCGUACCUGCGGGGAUGCAUUCAUGCCGAUGAAGGGGGCAUGGAGCUGCCUUGCUCCACUGGCUUCAGGAUCGCGCUUACCAACUUGGUGCCGAGACUCGUGGCCGCCUUCACAAACAUGGACACUCAUGGGUAG